GACGAACGCUGGCGGCGUGCUUAACACAUGCAAGUCGAGCGGAGCGGCGAACGGGUGAGUAACGCGUGAGUAACUGCCCCCCUCUCUGGGAUAACAGUUGGAAACGGCUGCUAAUACCGGAAAGUGGGGGUUGACUCGCGUCCUAUCGGCUUGUGGGUGGGGUAGUGGCCUACCAAGGCGACGACGGGUAGCCGGCCUGAGAGGCGGCCCGGCCACAUUGGGCUGAGAUACGGACCAAACGCGUACGGGAGGCAGCAGUGGGGAAUAUGGCACAAUGGGGGCGACUCAGAUGCAGCAGCGUUGCGUGCGGGAUGACGGCUUUCGGGUUGUAAACCGCUUUCAGCCAUGCCGCGGUAGUGGCAGAAGAAGCACCGGCUAACUACGUGCCAGCAGCCGCGGUAAUAC
rnacentral:rRNA from 1 species